UGGGAGUAAGCGUUACGGAAGCGCAGUCGGCUCCAACCCGACAGGCGCAGGUUCGACCCCUGCACUCUCAGCGA
rnacentral:tRNA from 1 species